rnacentral:rRNA from 1 species
GUUGCGAUACUGUGAGGUUGAGCUAAUCCCAAAAAGCCGGUCUCAGUUCGGAUUGGGGUCUGCAACUCGACCCCAUGAAGUCGGAGUCGCUAGUAAUCGCAGAUCAGCAACGCUGCGGUGAAUACGUUCCCGGGCCUUGUACACACCGCCCGUCAAGUCACGAAAGUUGGUAACACCCGAAGCCGAUGGCCUAACCCGUUUGGGAGGGAGUCGUCGAAGGUGGAAUUGGCGAUUGGGACUAAGUCGUAACAAGGUAAC